UGCGCCCUGCUGCCCACAUGGCUGUGUCCGGGGAAUGGCCUGGGGUGCCAGGCAAGGUGCCAGCUCCAGCCUGAAGAGCCUGGGGACCUCACCUUGCUUCCAGCCUGGUGAUUGAGCAUUUGGCAGGAGGCUUGGGCUGCACUUCCGCAGGAAACCCAGCCAACGUGAUUCCUUCCUGCUGCCAAAAAGGGAAGGCCUGGCUCCCUCACCCCAUGCCCCUUGGUCACAAGGCCCUGCACUCCCCUGUGGUAGUUCUGGCAUGCACUGGCCUCUGCUGAGGCAAUUCAACUUCCUGAAAACACCAGAAAGAAUUUUUCCCCUCUCCUUUUUGCAGGUAUAACUUCACUCUGGUUUAGGGAGUUGUGUCAUCCUGUGGAGGGAUCCAGUGAUCCCUACAGCUGGCUCAGAGAAAGCACACGAGCAGCCAUGAGCUGUUGGCAGCUCAGGCAAAGUCUUUCUUUACACAUCAGAUCCACGCAUCUUCUUAUGGACUAGGCAGCAAAAUCGUACUCAAUGCACCACCAGAAUUAUUUCUGUUGCAAGUGAGAAAAACUCUUAAGUGGUCUUAUUUUGGUUCCACCUUUUUUUUUUUUUUUUUUUUUUUUUCCAGAAGCAGUUCAGUUGCUGGCAUGUAAAAUCAGCUUUUGACCAUUACGUGUAGGAGCUGAUGUUCCUGAGAAGGUGCUAAAUUGUACUCUACACCAAAGAAAAGUGCAGGUCAACAGAAGACAGCUACUUAAUUGCCAGCAAAGGGAAGAGGGAAGGAUAUUUCGUUCAGACACACACAUUACCUUGUCUACUGGUUUAUUAGCUGCCUUCAGGUGAGUUGAAUGAAAGCAGGUGAUGCAACUAUGCUUCAAAUCAUGUAAAAGGGAUGCAUUUUCCCCUUCUACCUUUUCAUCCUGUCAUAGGAAACUAUGGAGAUCAAUAAUGCAGUGAAUACUAAAUGUAACAAGUGGGAGACCCAGCAGAAGGAAAGAGAAGCUCAGAAAAUCAAGCAUUUGGAGUCCCAGAAAAUUUGAAGGUCAAGCUCCUCCAGAUUGCCCCCACCAGAAAUGCCCACGUUUGGGAGGGAAAAAAAGGGAUCUUAGAAGAGCUGCAUUGAGUUUCUGGGUGAUAAAACUGCUGAACCCUUCCUCAGCCUUCUCCAUUGCUCAUCAAAAGAAACGGAUACGCCAAACGUUUAUAAGCAACUGGAGUAAAGGGUAUUUCCACAUGAAAAGAUGUAAUAGUAGCCAAGGAUGUACUCUUAACCACUUCUUAAAGCUGAAUACCUAUGGAGUCAAUGGGAUAAAGGACUCCUAACAUUAUGCUUUGCCAGUACUAAGAAUAAUUCACCUCUGAUUUCUUUUUAAGAAGCAUCUGCCUUUCUACUUCCUUGUAGAUGUUAUUCAUUGUGAGGAAUUACCCUUAAUUUUAGGUUAUAACUGUGGAUUCAACCACAACAUACAGAAAUUUUACAUGAAGUUCUUCCAUUGUUUGCGGUGUAUUAACUCCAGUUAAUACUGGGGGGGGAGAAGAGAUCAAGACUUAUUUUAGAACUCAUAUCUGAACUUGGGAUCUGCAUUUAGUUGGAUGCGAGUCCUAAUUUUUGAAGGAAUUUAUUUUGAAUCUACUGCUUUUGACUGGAGUUUAAAUACCCUUCAAAAUGUUUAACCAAGGUGAUGUGGUUUCAGUUGCACAAUAAAAAUCAACUCUGAAGAUAGUUCA
ensembl:lncRNA